rnacentral:rRNA from 1 species
AUGUUGCCGAGGGGUGUCAUUCCGCUGUGCAACAAUUCCUCGCUCGACCGCAACUGUGCAAUGAUGCCACUGUGCGAUUCGCAUGGAAUUGUCCCAACUUGGCAAGAGCCUGCAGACGACGUCGUGCGGAAUUUCUUUGACGGCUUGGUAGAAGUGCCGGUCCGCUCCGAUGAACAGAAGAGCCUUACUCGUGACACCACCGGUGCGGAGAUGCAGCGCAUCGCCACUAGGAUGGAAGAGGCGGCAGCAGCCGUUGCCGCGGGCGAGUUCGGAUUCACCGUGGAGGAGGCAGAGGCAGCAGAGGCGGCAAGCCUUGUUGAGCGAGAGGAGCUUACCGGCGAGGAAGAGCUUGUCGGGCCUGAAGCUGAGUCGAGCGAGCCCGCCGAGGUCGCGAGCGACUCGUUGAAGAUCGGCUCCUCCUCCUCCCCACCUUCAGCCAGCUCGCUGCAAGCGGAGCCCCCAGCUCCACCAAGAAGGCGUCUCCGCAAGGCCGGGGACAUAGCCGGGCGGCAGACGAGUCAACAGCCGCCGUACCGCGCGACACGCUCUACCGCGGCAAGCACUGUUGCCGCGGGAGCGCCUCACGCCGCUGCGGCAACUGGAGCGGGGUCUUCCCGGUCCACCGCUACUGCUCCUGCCAAGCGGACGAGGGAACCUACUCCUCCGCCUCGUUGCACCGGAGGUGAGCCGUACUUCGAUCUCUCCGUGCUCAGCUCCGACGAGGAAGAAGAAGAGUAA